AUUGGUUAGGGAUAGACGCGAAAGUGACCACAGGUACAUUGAGAUAGUCAUAAUUUUGAAGAAAUUCGUUUAUAAGAAAUAAUAAGUAAUGUGUUAUGGAAGACAUGACGACGAUCAGGGUGGUCCUCUCUCACGAUUCAAGAAACCUCGUUCUGGAACCGAUGUAUACACGGUACACGCGUCGUCAACGGAGCCGUCGACGUCGUGGAUGCUGCCAGAAAGAAAGUUGAUCUGAAAAUCAAACAAACAACCGACGCUGCGUUUCUGCACUUCCGUCGUCACCGUUUGUUUAUUGUCACUGAGGGAUCACUGUUUUAGACGACAAAAAAAGAAAAAAAUAGGAAUUGUUCAGAACAUUCAUUCACAAGAAGUCCGGAAGUGAAAAAAUGACAAGAACCAAAAAGCAACAAAACCUGUCAGAAUAUUCGUAGACUUAUUGUCUCCACAUUUUUGUUACGGUUACUUAGUAUGCAUGUGCAGAUUCUGUACGCAUUUCAGAAAUACUUCUACUUCAAACACACGUGUUCACCAUCAGACAAGAAAAGAGAGGUGACGAAAUCUGGAUUGAAUUUCUUGAAUUAACAUCUUCGAGGGGGUAUUAGACCCACGUGAAUAACGGGGACCCUGAUGUUAAGAUCGUGAAUUAGAAAAAAAGGGCCUCACGGGUCGUCAUGGCAUGGAUGGGCCUCUGGAUUCCUCAGUGGGGGUUCCUUGGACAUUUCUUUCGUUUCUCUUACUACUCCCGACGAUCCAUUGUUAUUGCUCCUCCUCACUGUCAAAAACGAAAUUGGAGAAUAUUGGGUCUGGUGAAUUCGUCCAGGAGAUUCUAAAGCACGAUUUAAGAGGUCAAAUCUAAACGAUCCUAGUUCUUGGAAGGAGAGAGCCAUCAGGACACGCGACACUUCCCGACUCAGAGGAAGCGUGUCUUUUUUAUUUUUUUUUGUACAUGGAACCCCAUGGUUACGAACCACUGAAAUCAUAUUGAUGAUAGAUUCAUCGUUAUUAUUUCAACAGAUUUUAUACAUGUUAUCAACUAUUAUAAUUUGUAAAAAUUGAAAAAAAAUUAAUUUUUUUAGAAUAAAUUUUAUGAUAUAGUUAUUGAUAAAUAGAUAUAAAAUAAAUUUAAUAUCUUAAACAGAUGUUAUAGAUAUAUUGACAUGAUCCUUGAAAAAAAGGAAGAUAUUCUAUCUGCGUUCAUUUA
rnacentral:lncRNA from 1 species